GAUGCUAGUGCUCGACCUCCCGCCGGGAGAACAAGCCGGGUAGUAAAUCCUUUCACCCCAAAGAACGUUUUGCUGUCAAUUUCUUUGGUCACACUGAAUCCAUAGCGAACUUGCCCGGGGCUGAAACCCAUUGGCAAGACAACCCUGACACCGGGACUACGCUCACGGAAGGAAUUGUGUCAGGAGCUGUGAAUAAGGAACUACAAGGUAUAAGAAAAUGAAGGACAGCCUCAACACUUCCAUGCUGUCAUUAUUGAUGAAUUCAUUACCAUUUGGAGAGCUGGCUCUGGCAGUUACUCUGUAAGACUGACUAACCAAAGUCCUUUUAUACAUCUGGAGAGAGCUCAUUGAAAAGGAGUAAGUGGCAUAUUUCCUGGAAUAUUUUUUUUAAUAGGGUUGAGAAGGAUUCAAGCUUAUCUGGUUCCUUCAGUCUAUUUUAUUUAAUAUCAGGAGACUGUAUUAUAUGUCUCCUGGGUACAUGUGUAGUAAAGUUUCCUUUUCACCUGGAAACUUCCCCUACUACUUGUCUCUGAGCUUUUUCAGACAUCUGAUCUGUUACAUGGUAGAAUCUGGGGUUAAAAAUGUAAAUAAGAAGUCACAUAAGGAAAGCUCCAGGGAAGAUGGUGGAUUAGAAGGGCAUAGUGAAAACUUCAUCCCACAUAUACACUGAGGAAGCAGCUAUAUCAAAUCAUCUACAUCAGUUAUAUCAAGCAACCUUUACAAUGACCUGAAGUCUGCAGAAUGGACAAUGUACAACUGGAGAGGAGAAGACUAUAUUGAGAAGGGUAAAGGGGCCGAGCUGUGAUCAGUUGGGACCCAAGCCCUCCUUGCAUCCCAGUCCACAAGCAGGAGGGAGAGAAUGAAGCAGGGAGGGGAUAAGAGCUCAGGAAUCCUGAACGCUUGGCCCUGGAAAUCUGCUCUGGGAACACAAGUCCACAUUGCCCUUGGCUUUCGUGAUUAAUGGGGCUGGACACCAGGAGGAGUUGGAGCCCUCAGGGAGGCUGAGACUUCUGUUGUUUGUGGAGGACAGGCACAAACCUCCGUGGGUCCUGCUGAAACCUAGUACAGAGGUGGCAGUUUGAAAUAUAUGCUAGCUUCAAGAAGUGUUAGUGUGCUAAAAGGGCAAGGGUUGAAAGGAGCUCUCUCUCUAGGAGAAAGGGUAGACAGACAGCACUUUUCCACUCCUCUCUCAGCCCAACUAGCCAGAUACUUGCAGGAGCCAUCUCUGAAACUCUCCACCUGCCCUGCUGACUCUCCUGAGUGUUCACUUGCAUAGCUGCCCCACCUGGUGCACUCUUCCCAGGGGUGGUGUGCCAUUUGCUGACUGACAGAAAGAGGGCGACCCUGUCCAAAACAAAUUCCAGCAGAAGUGCCUCAUGUCACACAAAAGGCAUGCAGAGACUAGCUGUGGGGAUCAGUCAUGGCUGGCAGACAGGCAGAAAGAUGGUCCCUGCCCACAGCCCACCAACAGUCAUCAUGGCUUAGCUGCAGCAGAGAGUCAGGCUCUGGUGAGCAGAGCCAGCAUCCUGGAUACCACAGGAUGCCUAAUAUGUAAAGCCACUACUCUCAAGACCAGAAGGCAUAGCUGAUCUAUCUAAUACAAAGGAAGAAACACAGAGACCCAGACAAAAUGAGAAAGCACAGGAAUAUGUUCGAAACAAAAGAACAAGAUAAAACACCAGACAUAGUGCUAAAUGAAAUAGGAUAAGCAGUCUUCCUGAUACAGAAUUCAAAGUAACAGUCAUAAAGAUGAUCACUGAAAUGGGAAAAUCAAUUCAGGAGCUCAAAGAGAAUUUCAACAGAGAGAGAAAUGUAAAAAAGAUCCAGUCAGAGCUAAAGAAUACAAUAACCACAGUGAAAAAUACAAUUGAAGGAAUGAAUAAUAGGUUGCAGGAAGCAGAGGAACAUAUCAGUGAGUUUUAAGAUGGAGAAAGAAGUCCAGAGUAACCAAGGUGAGGAAUACAGAGAGAAAAAAGACUUCCUAAAAAUCUGAACAUCUCAAGACAACUUUGUGACAAUGCUAAAUGAAACAAUAUUCACAUAUUAGGGGUCCCAAAUGGAGGAGAGAGAGGCAAAGGGGUAGAAAGUCUAUUUGAAGAAAUAAUUGCUUAAAACUCUCUAGUCUGGGGAACUCCAGGUUCUGGAAGCACAGAGAGGCCCUAAAAGGAUAAACCCAAGAAGAACAACUCUAAGACACUUAGUAAUUAAAAUGGCAAAAAUAAAAAAAAAGAGAAUCUUAAAAGCAGCAAGAGAAAGACAGACAGCUACCAAUAAGGGAAACUCCACAGGCUAUCAGCGUAUUUCUCAGCAGAAACUUUACAGGA